UCGCAACGUAGUUCGAUAGUUCGUGGUCAUGCUAAAAUGUCUGGUUUUCCGUUGUUCUGUUUGUGUUCUUCUUCUCUCGUUCAUUUUUAUGGGUGGCUGCCAUGCCGGUCCAAUUGCGAUUUCUCAACCAACCGCCAAUUCAGGGUCCCUUGAAGGGUCAUCCAACAGCCGCGGACAACAAGCCUACAUGAACGAGGGAUUCGAGGAGUCACCAUACAGAAGCCUGCGAAAUCGAUCAGCGGAUGCGCGAACGAGGUUCUCACCGACAGUCAGCACGUCAAAGAUAAGUCCAUCCGAAUCCUCACCGACACCCAGCAUCUCGACCAUGGCGAAGAACUCCGUCAUGAGCGUCGUUAGCUCGUUGGACGAAGUGGCCGGGAAAGCCGUGAGCGCGGUGGGUCUCCUCCUGGGCUUCCUCAACGGAUUUACCACGCAGUUAGGCACGAGCGCGUUCAACUCGAUGGUGCGGGUCCACAACGCGAACGUGGACAAUCUCCAUCGUCUGCGACGCCUGGCGGGGAACGUGGGAAGCUCGGCCGUGGACUUGGGAGCCUCGGCCGUCGCCGAGACGGCCAGCGUGGUGGGCGCCGUGUGUCGGGAGAACGAGCGGGUCCUGAGCCGCGUGCCUGGGGUUCGACGUCUCGUGGACCUGAAGAGCGUGGCCGGCCUGGCCGCGGCGGGCGGGCUCGCGUCGGCCGCCGGCGCCGUCGAGAAGAUCGGGGGCCUGGCUGUCAGCGCCGUGGCGUUGGAGAAGGACGACCGGGCGGCGGACUCCGAGGGGGUCCUGCAAAAGAUCGGGGGGUUCUUGAAGAAGAUCGAGGGGCUCUCCGGCUCGGAUGUCGUGACGGUCGGCCUCGCGGUGGGGACGAGUGACGGUCCAGCGGGUGCCCUGAACAAUAUCGUGGGGGCGACGAACCCUGAGUCCUCGUUCAGGAUCGGCCAGACCAUCGGUCGCCUCGCGUAGGAGGUUGCAAUCAAGGUAUGUGAAUCGAAGGUAUGCUCAUCUUGACCCUAUCGGCUCCCGCCGCUAGUUGUGACGCGAAGUUUACAUUUCAACAGUUUUGCAGUUCUGGCCGAAAACAAAUAUGAAUGCCUGCUGUUGAUAAAAAUGAAAAAAGCAGCCAAAGUACUAAAAGCAAAUGAAUGUUCAUUUUUGAGGAAUUCGCUUGCGUUGAAUUUGUUCGUUUUGGUCAACAGCAGACGGUUAUGUUCGUUUUCGGCCAAUACUGCAAAAUUGUUGAAAUUCAAACUUCUCGCCACAGCUCCAGUGGCGGCAGCCGAUAGCCGAGUUCUGGCCGGAAGGGUCGGGAAGAGCAUACCUUCGUUUCACUUCCCUUGGGUGGCAACGGGUCAGCUGCGCUGGUCGCAGAAUCGUGUUUUGAUGCCAGAUCCUUGUAAGUUAGCCAAAAAUAAUAAGAUCCGUCCAAUUAGCAAAUGUCCUCGUUAAAUAUUAAAAGGUCUUGAUACACGAUCAACUUACGAACCAAUUCUGAUCAAAGGAGUCCAGUUGAUGACUGAUGGUCACCAUGCAACAGUCCUCUCUGGUCAAAAUUGGACGGGCCGUCUUUGAUCAGAACGGAGUGCCACCAUUCAUCAUUUCCGGCCGCACGAAACAUUUUAAAACUAAACGAAGUAAUGAUUUUAAGACUGAUGACUCCCGACACUUUAAUGGUAAUUGGUUCGGGAAUUUGAUCGUGUAUCGAGACCUUGUCAAGGUAUCGCGCAUUGAAAAUUUGGUUUAUGACGUCAUCCACCGUGGUCGUUGUAUACUAUGGUUUUUUCCACCCUGGUUUCAUCAAAAAGUGAUAAGCACGUUAGCACUGAUUCAUUUAUGUAAAGCACGAUUUGUAAUUUGUAAAUACAAAUAAAGCACCAUGGUAUUUGCAAUCAUGGUGGAUGCUGUUAUAAACCGAGUUUUUCAAAGCGUGAUAUCUCUGUUAAUAUGAAGUUUAGGAAGUUGUUGUUUGGACACGUCAUUCUUAUUUCAAACUAUCCACAAUAAUCCAGCAUCAAAACACAAUUCUAUGUCCAGUGCAACGACUUACUACGGACUGGUAGAUUCUAUCAUAUUAUCCUGAGUUUCUGCCAUGACAUUCAGAUGAUAUUAUUCGAAGGUGAUCAGUUGCCUUCACAUUCUACAACUUUUUAUUUUUAUUAAACGUUUAAGUAUCGUAAUUAAACAAGGUGGUAUAAUGGUGCAGCGUCCACAUUAUUUGGCAGGGAGAGCAAGGCCUAAAAUGUCCAUUAGAGUCUAAGGAUGUGUGCUCUGAUGAGCUCUAAUUUUACCACCUUGCAUAGUACAUAUAGUUCAGGCCACUUUUUCGUGUUCGUAUAAUUAAAUCUAUGCAUACACAUGUUAAGUGUUUAAACAUCAUCUUGUUACGUAUACAGUUCGGGCCACACUAGUGUAGUCAAUAUCAACCAAUAGUGUAGUGUCGGAAUUAUUGUACAAGAGAAACAGACAGGUGACCUGCCCAGUGAAAUGAACUCCAGCUUUCACAUAUCCCUAUAGUUUAUUUUGUAUUUGAAAUAACUGCAAGAAACAGUCACAAUUGAAUAUAAAGAGCUAUUAAACAGGCAAAGGCAGCUUUGUUUUGACAAGCAAAAUCUGCUAACUGAUCCAAACGUUUAAAGUAAUGCAUUUCACAUUUUCAUGCGGCAUGUCUAACUGCUUUUCAGGCUGCCUGCUGUGCAGCAUGAAGCGCCGCCGCUAGAGAUGGGCAAAAGGAGCACUCGAUACGGAAAUACGUUUUUCAAUUUAUGGUCAUGUUUCGGUUGGAUUUUUGUUCCAAUCAUCGAAGGGGGAAAACUUAUGAAAGGGUCACCCUCAGGAGGAGGCAGAGAGGAGAGGGGUACCCCCUCCCUAAAUAUAAUUUCGAAAUGGAGAUUUCUCAUUUGUGUCACGCGUAUCGAGCUUUUCUUUUGCCCAUCCUACAAGGCACUAAAAUGUCUUCCAUCCAUGGGACAACUGACAUAGGAACUAUCUCUACCGCAAGGGACAUAUAAACAACGAGUUUUCUUCCUUUGGGUUUAGAAUUCAUUUCUACCUUAGUUUCAUAAAGUACAUAAAACAGCAUUCUUCAUUCUGCUCAUUCCAGACUUUCCACUUGAUCGGGUAGUUGCCCUGAAACAGAAAUACAUAGUGCUUCAGUAAAUCCACCUUCUCUCGACUUCCGGCGCGUGGAGAGCGCGCGCUUUUACCCUUUGCACUAUUUGCGAGAUUCUCUCAAUAUUGAGCUCGCGGAACAUGAGCGACUAUUUGACUAUGUUAUGCGUAGAGGAACUACUAUUUUUGGUUCAUUCAUGGAAGCGCCUUUCUGCACAGGGGAUCUAAUGGCACUUACGUUGUUUCUAAAAACUACCAUUUCUGGCUCACUCAUGGAAGCACCUUUUUAAUGGCACUUUCGUUGUUCCUCAAGUGAACUAGAAAUAGUAGUCCCGAUUUGCAAAGUAGGGGCCAAUUAUUCUUGUCACGCGCGACUGGUUGAAACAUAUUUCGACGGAAGAAGAAAGUAAUCUUUGCGAUCGUCUUUGGAUUUAGCAAAUUUUAGCCCGGCAGAUUUCUCGCUCAACUUGAACUGCAAAUAAUUAAGUUGUGUAGUAGAACAUCAUUAGAAAUGGGAGAAUGUUUCAUCCAACCCUACCCGGUAGAAGGUUGCCGCGUUAAGUAAGAAUCUCUGCCAG
rnacentral:lncRNA from 1 species